rnacentral:rRNA from 1 species
CAGGAGGUCAUGGAGGGUGAGAACCCCGUACAUGGCUUGGGUGAGAAGACCUAAUGAUGGUUCCUCUAAGAGUCGGGUUGUUUGGGAAUGCAGCUCAAAAUGGGUGGUAAAUUUCAUCUAAAGCUAAAUAUUGGCGAGAGACCGAUAGCAAACAAGUAGAGUGAUCGAAAGAUGAAAAGUACUUUGAAAAGAGAGUGAAACAGUACGUGAAAUUGUUGAAAGGGAAGCGUUUGGCAUCAGCCCAUGAUGGUCAUCGAACAUCCUGGCUUUUUUUCUGGUUUUCUCGAUGGCCAUUGGGCCAGCUUCGGGGGGGGGGAGCUGGAGAAAGGCCUUGGACAAGUGGCUCCUUUUCGGGAGCGUUAUAGCCCAUGGCGUCAUGCAGCUUGGUGGGGCCGAGGUCCGCGGGUUUUCCUAGGACGCUGGCGUAAUGGUUCCAAGCGACCCGUCUUGAAACACGGACCAAGGGAGUCUAACAUCUAUGCGAGUGUUUGGGUGUCAAGCCCGA